rnacentral:lncRNA from 10 species
ACAGCCAGGGGAAGCAACCAUGUGGACAACAAAAGAGGGAACAGAUGGAGGUCAGCUGAGGGACAGUAGGCUGCCAUAGCAUGGGAAACGUCACUCAACUUGGGACCAAACUGUAGCUAACCAACUCCCAUAGGGCAUCUUAUUCUUGAAGCAUGUAAGGAAACCGGCCUAUCAGAUACCGUCUUAGUAUCGUCUGUCUCUCAAGCCUCUCUGUUCAUCUUCUCUGGAGAGCUGAGCUUUCAAUACAGAAAUCCUCUGCAUAUUGACAACCAGUAUCAAAUGGCCACUAAGCCUCUUCCUCUCCCUCCUACAUAAUCUCCAUUUUUUAGUCAUUGUACCUUAUAGUCCCUAUUCCAAUCUCUAUUCCUAGAUCAUUACCCUAGACCAGAACCAGACAGUAAAUAUUUUAGGCUUUGCAGGCCAUAAAGUCUGUGUCCCAACUAUGCAACUCUGCUGUUCAGUAGUUGCACAAAAGCAGCCAUAGGCAGCUCGUACACAAAUUAAUAUGGCUGCAUUCCACUAAAACUUCACUCACAAAACAAGGGGCUGGCUCGCUUCAGUCCAUGGGCUGUUUCUUGACUCCUGCUCUAGAGAGUCUUUGAGUUUUAAAAUAAAGUUAGGAGAACUGA